rnacentral:rRNA from 1 species
AUACUCCUACGGGAGGCAGCAGUGGGGAAUAUUGGACAAUGGGCGCAAGCCUGAUCCAGCCAUGCCGCGUGAGUGAUGAAGGCCUUCGGGUUGUAAACUGCUUUUAUGAGUGAAGAAUAUGACGGUAACUCAUGAAUAAGGGUCGGCUAACUACGUGCCAGCAGCCGCGGUA